rnacentral:rRNA from 1 species
CCUACGGGUGGCAGCAGUGGGGAAUAUUGGACAAUGGGCGAAAGCCUGAUCCAGCCAUGCCGCGUGUGUGAAGAAGGCCUUCGGGUUGUAAAGCACUUUCAGUGGGGAAGAAAGCCUUGGGGCUAAUACCCUCGAGGAAGGACAUCACCCACAGAAGAAGCACCGGCUAACUCCGUGCCAGCAGCCGCGGUAAUACGGAGGGUGCGAGCGUUAAUCGGAAUUACUGUGCGUAAAGCGCGCGUAGGCGGUCUGAUAAGCCGGUUGUGAAAGCCCCGGGCUCAACCUGGGAACGGCAUCCGGAACUGUCAGGCUAGAGUGCAGGAGAGGAAGGUAGAAUUCCCGGUGUAGCGGUGAAAUGCGUAGAGAUCGGGAGGAAUACCAGUGGCGAAGGCGGCCUUCUGGACUGACACUGACGCUGAGGUGCGAAAGCGUGGGUAGCAAACAGGAUUAGAUACCCCGGUAGUC